GGAAUCUUGCGCAAUGGGCGAAAGCUUGACGCAGCCACGCCGCGUGGAUGAUGAAGGCCUUCGGGUCGUAAAGUCCUUUUCUGAAGGAAGAACAGUCCGGUGAGGAAAUGCUCCGGAUUUGACGGUACUUCAGGAAUAAGCCCCGGCUAACCCUGUGCCAGCAGCCGCGGUAAUACAGAGGUGGCAAGCGUUGUUCGGAAUUACUGGGCGUAAAGGGAGCGCAGGCGGCCAGGUCAGUCUGAAGUGCAAGCCCGGGGCUCAACCCCGGAAUUGCUUUGGAUACUACUUGGCUUGAGUACGUCAGAGGUGAGCGGAAUUCCAGGUGUAGCGGUGAAAUGCGUAGAUAUCUGGAGGAACAUCGGUGGCGAAAGCGGCUCACUGGGACGAGACUGACACUGAGGCUCGAAAGCGUGGGGAGCGAA
rnacentral:rRNA from 1 species